AACACUCAUUUCAAAAACGCUACCCUGUAUCACCGUGUUCGAGCAAAAAGUUGAAACACUGAGCGAUCUCCUCCUGCGUUCUCCUUCAACGGCGAUCUUCUCCGGAGAUAUCUCUUCCAGCGAAGAUCUCCUCCAACAGCGAUCUCCUCCGGCAAUGUCUGCUCCAGCGACGAUCUCCUCCUACGACGCCUGCUCCAACGACGAUCUCCCUUCUUCCGACGUCUCCUCCAGCGACGAUCUCCCUCCUCCGACUUCUCCUCCAAUGACGAUCUCCUCCGGCUUCCUCCUUGUCGUCCUGUGUCCUCUCUGCCAAAUCUUCAGUGUCUCCUUUUUGUUCUGGAUCAGCAGGUCAGCUCGCUACUUUUUCACAUUCUAGGGUUCAAAAGUACGAAUUAUUUCUCUCCUUUGCUAGAUUUUUUACCAAUUCGAUUGAAACAUGAGAGUGCGUGAAUAUGUGGAUAUAAAUUCCUUGUGAUUUUCGUUGUUAUUCAUUUGGUACUGAUUUUUAAGCUUUUUUGAAUUUGUUAUUAUUGGAGAAAAGUAAAACAGUGUAUUUUGAUUUUCUUAUUUUUUUCAAUGUGUUGUGAGGUUUUGGUAGUGUGUUUGUGUUUUAGGUUGUAAAUACUAAGUGGAGUAUGUGAGAAUGGUGCAGGAAAGUGGAAAAGCUUUAGUGUCACUUAUAAACCAGGUAUUGGAUCUGGCAAAGAUUGAAGCUGAAGAAAUGGACUGGGACAAUAAUGGACAAGUCACUAUCAGGGAGUUCCUCUUUGGUUUCAUCAAAUGGGUUGGAAUUGAUGCAGAUGAAUAGAUGCAUGAUGCAUUGUCUUAAUGGAUCGUCGCGAAUGCAUCCUUGUGAGGAGUUGUUUGAGUUCCAUUCUUCUGGUGACUUUGGACUGAACCCCUUAAAGCAUUGGCAGACAUGCUUUGAAUCUGCUACACUGCAAUAAGCAUAGGCUCCACAAAGGUCAUAUUUAUCACACACAUCACCUUGCGUUGAUCCAGAAACUUUCCAAUUCUGAAGAUUGUCAUCCCAUAAAUAACUUGUAAGAGAUUGACUUAUUUGGCUUAUUACACCUCCUCCAAUGAUAGAAUCAACCUUGGUGUUAUAACUAUAGGAUAUCUCAUCCUUGUUUGGGACAAAACUGUCUUAAAAAACAUAUGUAAAGGACGGAUCUGGGAGUCCACUGAAGUAAAGGCCAUUCCAAGGUCCAGAGCGAUAUACUUUUUGUGUUCCAUUCAUCAUGUAAUAGACCGGAUAAUCCCUUACAACUAAACCAAGAGAAAAGUCUCCAGGGGAUAGAUCAUUUGGACUCUUCCAACAAGUUAUGCUCCAGUCCAAACCUUUUCGGAGGUCCCUUCCCAACUUCAUAGUUGGCAAGAAUGUAUCUAUAGGAUAAUCAAAGCUUUGCCACAAAUAGGCCUUUGGAUUUGAUUCCCCUUCAUUUCUUAACACAAGAUUGCCACUGUCCAAGAGCUUCAAUACCGGAUUUUUUAAUUAGGAAGGAUUCUUGGCCUCAAAGCUCGAUUUGGGGUCUAUGAAAUCAUCACUGCCUUUUAUAAGGGAUCUUGCCCAAGAAUACAUGAUCCAAAGUUGAAAGAAAGCUUUGAGAAUUUCCCAAGACAUGAUGCAUUCGUACCCAAAUUUGAAGCUAACCUUGCUCAGUUCUGUGAGAAAUUGGUAAUGGACUUGGAUAGAAGAGUAAGACGUGGGCAAGAACGUCUUGCUCAAGAGGUGGAGCCAGCACCAGCGCUUCCAUUAUAAUUAAAAUACAUUAAAAUAUUUUGUAUGUUUAUAUAUUAAUAUCAUAAUUCAGGCUGCCUAAGAGAAGGCUGUUGAAGAAGAGUGAAGGAAACAAAGGGAGAAGGAUCAUGAGAGAAGACUAUACAAUCUCCCUUCCAUCAAUAUUAUUUAUGGAGAAAAAAAGGGUUGAGCUGCAGAGAGAACAAGAAGAAAAAACCCUCUUGAUGGCUUCUAUCAUUCUCUACAGAACAAGAAUCUCUUACUUCAUUAAGGAUGCAAUUCCAUUGAGCUAGCAAUUGGAACACUACAAAGAAUAUCAGAAUAUAUUGGUGGAAGUAGCAGGACAAUCAAAUGCUUUAUCAAUCAUAUUUGGUGCUACACAUCUUGUUAGUGCUGGCAACAGUGACUUCAUUCAGAAUUAUUACAUAAACCUUCUGCUAAACAAGCGGCCGCUAUAAGGAUUUUAUUUCAAUCUAUGAACUCACCUUCACAGCUAGGUUGGCAAGCGAGUGGUGAUGAUCCGCGUGGACAAUAUUGGAAAGGCAUAACAUGCUCAAACAACCGAGUUACAGAGAUUAAGUUAUCCAAUCUUAAACUAACGGGAACAUUGCCUUAUGGAUUACAACCCUUGACAUCUUUGACCAACCCAGACUUGAGUAGCAACAAUCUUGGAGGUGGCAUACCAUACCAGCUUCCUCCAAAUAUGCAGUGCUUAAAUCUGGCUUAUAAUAACUUCACUGGGGCAAUCCCUUACUCUAUUUCUGAUAUGACCUCUCUUACAGACCUGUGUGUAAUUAUCUUCUUGAGCAUUUAUCAUAAUAAUACCUUAUCAACCAGCUCCAUGAGCUAUUGGAGUAACUUUUUUUAUUGUUUUUGAGAACAUAGGAAUCUUGCUGAUUAGUGUUUAUUGCAAUGCUUGUAUUUUGGUAAGUUUAGUAAGACAAGGUUUUGUAUAGGAGUUAUUAUUUUUGAUUUUCAAUAAUAAGAAAUUAUAUAUUAUAUUAAUAU